rnacentral:rRNA from 1 species
UACGAAGGGGGCUAGCGUUGCUCGGAAUUACUGGGCGUAAAGGGCGCGUAGGCGGACAGUUUAGUCAGAGGUGAAAGCCCAGGGCUCAACCUUGGAAUUGCCUUUGAUACUGGCUGUCUUGAGUUCGGGAGAGGUGAGUGGAAUGCCGAGUGUAGAGGUGAAAUUCGUAGAUAUUCGGCGGAACACCAGUGGCGAAGGCGACUCACUGGCCCGAAUACUGACGCUGAGGCGCGAAAGCGUGGGGGAGCAAACAGG